rnacentral:rRNA from 1 species
CCCGCACAAGCAGCGGAGCGUGUGGUUUAAUUCGAUGCUACGCGAAGAACCUUACCCGGGUUUGACAUACAGGUGGUAGGGAACGUGAAAGGGGACCGACCUUCGGGAGCCUGAACAGGUGCUGCAUGGCUGUCGUCAGCUCGUGUCGUGAGAUGUCCGGUUAAGUCCGGUAACGAGCGCAACCCUUGCUGUAUGUUACAAGUGUCAUACGGGACUGCCGGUAUCAAGCCGGAGGAAGGUGGGAUGACGUCAAGUCAGCAUGGCCUUUAUAUCCGGGGCUACACACACGCUACAAUGGUCAGUACAAUAGGUUGCAAAGCCGCGAGGUGGAGCCAAUCCCAAAAGCUGGCCUCAGUUCAGAUUGCAGGCUGCAACCCGCCUGCAUGAAGUUGGAGUUGCUAGUAACCGCGCGUCAGCCAUAGUGCGGUGAAUACGUUCCCGGGCCUU